rnacentral:lncRNA from 1 species
CUACUGAAUUUUACUCAUGAAAGAAGGCUGGAGGAGGACAUCAGUCAUUUUGUUUACAGAGGGGGAGUGGCUACCCUCUGUGCCUGCAAAGAACUUUCAUUCCCAGCAGAACACACAGGGGCAGAGAAGGGCUGAGAGCCUUUCCCUUGCCAAUCAGCCAUGCAGCCAAUGAGCAGUUGCUCACUUCAGCCUCAGAGCGAGUCUCUCAUGCCAGGUCAUCAGCCAGGCAGUGGAAAUAUCACUGUCAGGACCAGGCUUCCUGCAAUUCUUGCUCCAGCAGUUAUGAAUAGAGCAUCAGGGCUCAUUUUGGCUCAUAAAUGGAGCACAGUGAAAAUAGAAUCCACUACUGCCUAUGAGAUCUAACAAAUAUAAUGUACAAUUCUGGAGCAGAUUGUUGCUACAGCUGAGCCUGCUUUGAGUAGAAAUGCUCACAGCAUGGGCUCAAAAGGCUCAGGGCAGAGUUUGUGCUCUGAGACUGCUCCCUGCAACCACAAGGACACGCAGCACAGCCACGAGCCACAAGCAUGGCUCCACCGUCUCUGCCAGAGCAGCCAGGAGAGACACACAACUUGGGAACACGAUGAUUUGUCUCAAAAAUGUGGAAAACUGCACUGCCUAUCCCAUGCCCUCUGAGUUAUCAGAUUGCAGCCUGGUCCAUUAUCUCCCAGCAAUUUUGAAACUCUUUGUAAAUUGCAGCUUAUGGCAUUUCCCCACCAUGAUCAAAAAAGCUGAGAGA